UAAGGGAUAUUGCACAAUGGGGGAAACCCUGAUGCAGCAAUGCCGCGUGAGGGAAGACGGUCUUCGGAUUGUAAACCUAAGUUGUCAGGGACGAAACAAGACGGUACCUGAAGAGAAAGCUCCGGCUAACUACGUGCCAGCAGCCGCGGUAAUACGUAGGGAGCGAGCGUUGUCCGGAAUUACUGGGUGUAAAGGGUGCGUAGGCGGGUUUGCAAGUCAGACGUGAAAUACCGGGGCUCAACUCCGGGGCUGCGUUUGAAACUGUAGAUCUUGAGUGAAGUAGAGGUAGGCGGAAUUCCCAGUGUAGCGGUGAAAUGCGUAGAUAUUGGGAGGAACACCAGUGGCGAAGGCGGCCUACUGGGCUUUAACUGACGCUGAGGCACGAAAGCGUGGGGAGCAAACAGG
rnacentral:rRNA from 1 species